CCUACGGGUGGCAGCAGUGGGGAAUAUUGGACAAUGGGGGGGAACCCUGAUCCAGCCAUGCCGCGUGUGUGAAGAAGGCCCUCGGGUUGUAAAGCACUUUCAGUGAGGAAGAACGCCUGGUGGUUAAUACCCAUCAGGAAAGACAUCACUCACAGAAGAAGCACCGGCUAACUCCGUGCCAGCAGCCGCGGUAAUACGGAGGGUGCGAGCGUUAAUCGGAAUUACUGGGCGUAAAGCGCGCGUAGGUGGCUUGAUAAGCCGGUUGUGAAAGCCCCGGGCUCAACCUGGGAACGGCAUCCGGAACUGUCAAGCUAGAGUGCAGGAGAGGAAGGUAGAAUUCCCGGUGUAGCGGUGAAAUGCGUAGAGAUCGGGAGGAAUACCAGUGGCGAAGGCGGCCUUCUGGACUGACACUGACACUGAGGUGCGAAAGCGUGGGUAGCAAACAGGAUUAGAUACCCCUGUAGUC
rnacentral:rRNA from 1 species